rnacentral:rRNA from 1 species
CUACGUGCCAGCAGCCGCGGUAAUACGUAGGGCGCGAGCGUUGUCCGGAAUUAUUGGGCGUAAAGGGCUUGUAGGCGGUUGGUCGCGUCUGCCGUGAAAUUCUCUGGCUUAACUGGGGGCGUGCGGUGGGUACGGGCAGACUAGAGUGCAGUAGGGGAGACUGGAAUUCCUGGUGUAGCGGUGGAAUGCGCAGAUAUCAGGAGGAACACCGAUGGCGAAGGCAGGUCUCUGGGCUGUAACUGACGCUGAGAAGCGAAAGCAUGGGGAGCGAACAGGAUUAGAUACCCUGGUAGUCCACGCUGUAAACGUUGGGCACUAGGUGUGGGGGCCACCCGUGGUUUCUGCGCCGUAGCUAACGCUUUAAGUGCCCCGCCUGGGGAGUACGGCCGCAAGGCUAAAACUCAAAGGAAUUGACGGGGGCCCGCACAAGCGGCGGAGCAUGCGGAUUAAUUCGAUGCAACGCGAAGAACCUUACCAAGGCUUGACAUGC